UACAGAGGUCUCAAGCGUUGUUCGGAUUCAUUGGGCGUAAAGGGUGCGUAGGUGGCGCCGUAAGUGGGGUGUGAAAAUCUCGGGGCUUAACUCCGAAACUGCAUUCCAUACUGCGGUGCUCGAGGACUGGAGAGGAGACUGGAAUUCAUGGUGUAGCAGUGAAAUGCGUAGAGAUCAUGAGGAAGACCAGUGGCGAAGGCGGGUCUCUGGACAGUUCCUGACACUGAGACACGAAGGCCAGGGGAGCAAACGGG
rnacentral:rRNA from 1 species